AGUGAACGCUGGCGGUAGGCCUAACACAAGCAAGUCGAACGGCAGCACAGUAAGAGCUUGCUCUUACGGGUGGCGAGUGGCGGACGGGUGAGGAAUACAUCGGAAUCUACUUUUUCGUGGGGGAUAACGUAGGGAAACUUACGCUAAUACCGCAUACGACCUACGGGUGAAAGCAGGGGAUCUUCGGACCUUGCGCGAUUGAAUGAGCCGAUGUCGGAUUAGCCAGUUGGCGGGGUAAAGGCCCACCAAGGCGACGAUCCGUAGCUGGUCUGAGAGGAUGAUCAGCCACACUGGAACUGAGACACGGUCCAGACUCCUACGGGAGGCAGCAGUGGGGAAUAUUGGACAAUGGGCGCAAGCCUGAUCCAGCCAUACCGCGUGGGUGAAGAAGGCCUUCGGGUUGUAAAGCCCUUUUGUUGGGAAAGAAAAGCAGCAGGUUAAUACCCCGCUGUUCUGACGGUACCCAAAGAAUAAGCACCGGCUAACUUCGUG
rnacentral:rRNA from 1 species